ensembl:snRNA U6 U6 spliceosomal RNA
GUGCUUGCUUCGGCAGCACAUAUCCUAAAAUUGGAAUGAUACAGAGAAGAUUAACAAGGCCCCUACGCAAGGAUGACAUGCAAAUUGGUAAAUGGUAUUGGAUUUGG